rnacentral:rRNA from 1 species
UACGUAGGGUGCAAGCGUUGUCCGGAAUUAUUGGGCGUAAAGAGCUCGUAGGCGGUUUGUCGCGUCUGCUGUGAAAACCCGAGGCUCAACCUCGGGCCUGCAGUGGGUACGGGCAGACUAGAGUGCGGUAGGGGGAGAUUGGAAUUCCUGGUGUAGCGGUGGAAUGCGCAGAUAUCAGGAGGAACACCAAUGGCGAAGGCAGAUCUCUGGGCCGUAACUGACGCUGAGGAACGAAAGCGUGGGUAGCGAACAGG